rnacentral:rRNA from 1 species
CGGUGAUGAAGUAGCUCAUGCCCCGCUUCCAGGAAAAGCCUCUAAGCUCUAGAUUAUCAUUAAUCGUACCCCAAACCGACACAGGUGGUCAGGUAGAGAAUACUCAGGCGCUUGAGAGAACUCGGGUGAAGGAACUAGGCAAAAUGGUGCCGUAACUUCGGGAGAAGGCACGCUGGCAUUAGGUGAAGUGAUUUACUCAUGGAGCUGAAGCCAGUCGCAGAUACCAGCUGGCUGCAACUGUUUAUUAAAAACACAGCACUGUGCAAACACGAAAGUGGACGUAUACGGUGUGACGCCUGCCCGGUGCUGGAAGGUUAAUUGAUGGGGUUAUCCGUAAGGAGAAGCUCUUGAUCGAAGCCCCAGUAAACGGCGGCCGUAACUAUAACGGUCCUAAGGUAGCGAAAUUCCUUGUCGGGUAAGUUCCGACCUGCACGAAUGGCGUAAUGAUGGCCAGGCUGUCUCCACCCGAGACUCAGUGAAAUUGAACUCGCUGUGAAGAUGCAGUGUACCCGCGGCAAGACGGAAAGACCCCGUGAACCUUUACUAUAGCUUGACACUGAACAUUGAGCCUUGAUG